rnacentral:rRNA from 1 species
UACGUAGGUGGCUAGCGUUGUCCGGAUUUACUGGGCGUAAAGAGCGCGCAGGCGGUCGUUCAAGUCGAGUGUGAAAGCCCCCGGCUCAACUGGGGAGGGUCACUCGAUACUGAUCGACUCGAAGGCAGGAGAGGGAAGCGGAAUUCCCGGUGUAGUGGUGAAAUGCGUAGAUAUCGGGAGGAACACCAGUGGCGAAGGCGGCUCACUGGCCCGAUACUGACGCUGAGGCACGAAAGCGUGGGGAGCAAACAGG